AUACGUAGGUGGCGAGCGUUGUCCGGAAUUACUGGGUGUAAAGGGCGUGUAGGCGGGUAUACAAGUCAGAUGUGAAAUACCGGGGCUCAACUCCGGGGCUGCAUUUGAAACUGUAUAUCUUGAGUGCAGGAGAGGGAAGUGGAAUUCCUAGUGUAGCGGUGAAAUGCGUAGAUAUUAGGAGGAACACCAGUGGCGAAGGCGACUUCCUGGACUGUAACUGACGCUGAGGCGCGAACGCGUGGGGAGCGAACAGGAUUAGAUACCCUGGUAGUCCACGCUGUAAACGAUGGAUACUAGGUGUAGGAGGUAUCGACCCCUUCUGUGCCGGAGUUAACACAAUAAGUAUCCCACCUGGGGAGUACGGCCGCAAGGUUGAA
rnacentral:rRNA from 1 species